rnacentral:lncRNA from 1 species
CAAAAGGUAAGCAAUAGCGGCAUUUUUCUGAUAAACGUCGCAAAAAGUGAGCAAAAACGCCGCAAAUAAGUAGUUAAUUUUUGAGAAACAGCGCCGUUUUGCAAAAACCCAAAAUCUCUCGUCUGUCCCAAAACCCUUUCCUUCUUUCCCAAUUUUUUCCCAAAACCCUUUUUCCCAAAUCAGUUCCACCUCCCUCCCCGAAAUCCCUAAUUUUUUCCCCAAUCCCUUUCUUUUUGUCACAGUUGUCCUUCAAUUCUCUAUAUUUUCCUUCAAAUCGCUUUAUUCCAACUGAUUCUUUGCCUUCUCCCUUUCGUUUCGUUUCCUUCGUUUCAUUUCCUUUCCAUAGCUUUCGGUGGUGGGUGCUUUUCCAUUCUCUUAAUUUCCCUUUCCGCUUUUGUAUUUUUGUCUAUCUAUGAUUGAUUUUAUUUUCUCUUUUAAUAAAAUUAUUUUAGUUCAUUUUAAUUUUACUCAUGUUGAAUAUGUGAUUCAAUCGAAUUUGCCCUUUUUUUCUCUGCUUAUUUUAGGGUUUAAGGGUGUUUUGAUGUUUUUAAGUUUAGUUUUACUCUCCAAAACUUGAUGCUUUUUCCACCGUUUGAUUAUCGUGUAUGGAAUCAAAUGAUAUCACUGGUUGGUUUGUAAGUUUUGUAUUUUUCCCAAUUUUAUAUGCUUGUUUUUCAUUGAUUCAUGCAACUAUUGUCUGUUUGUAAAAACAUAAUUAACUCUCACUCACAAACCCCAUUUCUUCCAUUCUUCCUCACUUUUUUAAGCCUUCACUAGUGUUUAGGGUUUAAAGUUUGAAGAUUUUGAACUAAAAGGAUUUUGAUUGUUCCUUAAAGUUUUCACCUUGCUUAGAUGUAAACAAACUGACAUGUUUUUGGCAACAAAGGUCCAGUCUUUUUAGUCCCACAAAGAAGAUUGCUAUUUUUUUUAAUGUUUUGUUGAAGAAAAGUAGAAAAAAAAGAGCUGGCUUUCGGACUUUGGGGUGUUAAUAGUUUGGUUGAAGAAAGAAGAAAGUGAAAACACUGAAGCAGAAAGCUUUUUACUUUGGGUGUCACUUGGAAUUUUUCCCUUGUUGAAUUUGGGUCUUGAAAGCUCAUUGUUAUGCUUCAAAUUGGAUGUAUCCUACCAUGGAUUCUUCUUUGACUAAAAUAUAAUAGUCCACUAUGAGUGUUUAGACUAUGAGUGCCAGAUACAGAUAUAUUGAAAUCUUUUUUUUUCGAGAUUUUCAUAUGUUUCGAAGGUUCUAUUGCAUUUAGGUUUGCUUUAUAUAUGGAUGAUUCCAUGUUACAAUAGUUGAAUGUAGAUGAUUUCAAAGAACACAAUUGUUGAUUAGAUGAUGGUUUACUUUUGUGAUGAAUGUUGUUCGAUAAUCACGGUCUUUAAUUCUAGUUAACUUACUGUCCGUAAUAUCUUCAAUGAUCCUUUUCAUGGUUGUUCAGCUUUAGAUUAUUUUCGUUGGUUGCAUAGUGCUAUUCCAGUGUGUGAUAGAAAUACAGUAUAUUUAUAAAUACAAAUUCGAGGAAUUACAAGUAUCACGUUAUUAUAAUUAGAUUGUUUGAAUAAUCAGUUUAGUGGUUAAAAUUUUGUU